UACAGAGGGUGCAAGCGUUAAUCGGAAUUACUGGGCGUAAAGCGUGCGUAGGUGGUUCGUUAAGUCCGUUGUGAAAGCCCCGAGCUCAACUUGGGAAUUGCAGUGGAUACUGGCGAGCUAGAGUGCGGUAGAGGAAGGUGGAAUUCCCGGUGUAGCGGUGAAAUGCGUAGAGAUCGGGAGGAACACCAGUGGCGAAGGCGGCCUUCUGGACCAGCACUGACACUCAAGCACGAAAGCGUGGGGAGCAAACAGG
rnacentral:rRNA from 1 species